UCGUUGUUGUCCAUGGUCCGUGUGUGUGUGCCUCGACUUCACAGGUAAGACGCACCAGUAAACACAGCCUGGGAGGAGAGGAGAGGAGAGGAGAGGACUGCCUGUGACAAAGUCCAUUCUGCUGGUGGCAUCCAAUCAAUAACAGCCUCAGCAGCAGCAGCAUCUCACUGCACAGGCACAGGCUGUGUGUGUAUGUGUGUGUGUGUGGUUGUGGGUGAAAGUGUAUGUGUGUGUCAGAGUCAGGAAGCGAAAACAAGGAAAAACAAGCCUCUUUUACCAAUCUUUUCUCCCAUCUCGAGGGGGGGAUGGCUGUUUAAAACACUGAAAACAACAACAAAAAAUCUUGUCUCUGCUUUCCAGGGCUUGAUCCCUCCCCCCUCCUCUGCCUCCCCCUCCUCCUCCCCCCCAGAGGAGCGUUGUUAAAUUGUAGCUGCAUACUAACAGCUUCCUCUGAAUCAAUUACCAUUUGGAUAUAAAUGUCACAGCUCUGGAAACUGUCAGCGGGCAGGGACUGAGAGGAAAAAGCUGCUUUAUUAAGGACCAGAUUUAAGCCGAGGGUUUCCUAAACACGAGCGAUCUCACUGCUGAGAAAAAAAAAUCGUACAUUUCCAAUUAAACAAUCAUUUUUCACUCGCAGAUGCAUCACAGGAGCCGCAGAUAUUAAAUGAAAAACCAGCUGCGCAUGUCGUGCGGCUGAUUUUAGAGACUCUCCACUUGAAGUCCCAUAAAUUAUCAUGAAAACCAUAAUUAUAUGACCCUAUAGGCGACCUCUGCUUUAGCUACAUGGGCUCUGCAUGUAGCCAGAGAGGAAGAAGAUAUCCUCACUCAGGAGCGGUCACUGUCAGGGUUUUGCAGAAAGCAAUAAGGCUGAGUGAUUGAAAAGUCAAUAUAACAUUUACUUUUAAUAACCUGGAGGCAAUAAGGACUUGAUGUGUAUUAUGAGAGGAGGAAUCUCUUAAGCCCUCCUCCUCCUCCUUCUCCUCCUCUUCUUCUCAUUGAGAGUGGACCUGGAUAAGAUCACAGAGCUCUAACUUCAUUCACAGGUGCAGUUUCAGGUCUCAAGCUGCAAAAAAUAAACUGAGUUGGUGUGAUUUUACUCAUGCACAUGCUCACACAGCUGGAAAAGAGGUGGCGAUUUUGAGAGCUGAUUUGACGUGCCGGCCCUUGGUUUUCGCUUUUGCCGUUGAGAAUGAAUGUCUCAUUUAUGAAUUGUUAGUGAACUGCAUGCAGAUUUGCGCAUUAAAAUCCUCGUCACUAAAAACCUGAUUAAUAAACAAGGCCAAAAACACAGAUUUAAUCAUAAGCUUGUAGGCACGUGUGUACGUUCAUGAAUGCAAAUCAAUCACAAAUUGGCUUUGGCUUCCACAGUCAGUGAUCAACACAUCCCCUUUCCCAUGAAUAGCAAAGAAGCACCUCAUAAAAAGGUAUAGAUAUGAAUGAGUGAAGGUCCUUACACACUGGGAGCAUUUUUUUCAUGCGAUUAUUUCAGACGUCAAUAUCUCUUUUUUGAACCCGUAUCCUGUCAAUACAAGUGUUCACAUCAGCGACGUUUUCCCUUACUGCGAUAUUGCGGCAUUUAUUUUUUCGGAUCACGGUCGAAUUUUCUACAGUUUCUGUCCACUUCUGACCAAUCAGAUUGCGUGUUGUUGCGACGUCAGAUUCACCGGUAUAUCCAACAUGGCCGACCAGCUGAUUGUUUACGUGUCAGAGAACAGAGUGCUUUUUGAUAAAAAACACAAACAUUACAAAGAUAACGACCUGAAGGACAACUUGCGGAGAGUCGUAGCGUCAGAUUUCUCAUAUGACGAUGGUUUGCGUGCUUUAACAGUUUGUUUUAACUUUCAUCUGUGGUAAGUAACUUUAGCUCGUAAGCUAACCUGUACAGAUACAACAUACCAUAUGUAUUUUCACUGUCUCAAACUCAGUCGUGUUGCUGUCACAGCACCAUUAGGUCUCGGUUGUUACCUUACAUUUAUAGAUUUUAGUUUAAGGAGGCCCGUGGCUCCAGGAAUCUAACACCAAAGUAUUCUGGGUAUUUGAGUGACACCGCUCCACUACCCUAAAAGAUGACAUGACUGGCUGAAGAAAAUAUUCCUAACAAACACUUUUUAAAAAGCUCUGGUUUGUUUUUCCAUCAUGACUACAAACUACCCAUCUAGAAACCAAUGCAGAAUCACACAGUGGCUACAUCCUUUAUUUAUACAGUCCUGAUCUGUUUCUGGAUUGACAAGAUCAGCCACUUGUCAUCUUAAACUAAUUGAGUUUUCUUUUUAAGCUUUAUUUCCAUACACGAGCUAAAAUUAGAGAAAUGAGCGGAAGAAGAAGGAGAAGUCAUGAUAACCUGGGUCUUGGUGGUCACUCCUGUCGUCUUACAUGAUGCUCUCUGUUAAAUAACAUGUCGCUGCCUCGUGUCCGCGCUUAUAAAUCCAUUCUAAUGCUGUUAGGUGGGAGGAUUAGCAUUAAGUUCCCUCUGCAGUUUUAAUAUUCUCUGUUCCAGGCGAGCCGUGCCUCCUGCUUACCCGGCAUUAAUGAGCUAAUUCUUUAUCAGGACUCAUGUCCCAAAAUUACCCCGCGAGACUGACAGUGUUCCGACUUGAGCCCCUGACAAAUACCUGCCCCUUGUGUUUGACGAGGCGCAUUUCUGCUUUUAUUUUAACAUUCGGUGUUUUAUUUAUGCUCAGGGUGUUAAGACUUUUAAAGUGUGUUUAUUUAAGAUGUCAGGGUGAACUCUAAAGACGGAGGGGCACAUCUGUCAAAGCCGAAGAACAGAAAAGAGUCACACUUCUCCAGAAUUAGAAGAAAAGAGCAGCUCUUUCUUCUUCUCUGCGGUUGGUAAACUGAGUUAGAGCGAACGCCCUGCAGAGCUGCACGGAUGUCUUUGCUUCCCUCUUUUCUCCAGUUAUUGUUUUUAAACUGAAUUUAGCUUGUUGGUGUGUCUGCAAAAGAAAGGGGAAUCCAAUCAUCUUAUUUUACACAUGGUACGGUUAAAUAUUGAAUCGUGCAUAUUACAGAAGGGAAAAAAAUGUUUGGCUCCAGCAGCAUAAACACAGAAGAAUGAAAAAGAAUGAGGAAAGGAAAAUAUGAGACUUUUAAAUUGUUCCAUCAUCCAUCAGUCUCUUUGUUUGGGGAAUACUGGUAUUCUGUGGUGAAAUCAGUCAGGGAUUGAACGGCGAGGAAUAGCCAGUGAAAAUUGGCAUCCUGCUUCUUCCUCUCUUUGAUACAGACAUUUGACUUCGAGAUAAAAAGUCCCUCGUUCUUACGGUCGGUACACUUCACAACAGAACAGCUCCUUGUGUCAGUCAGCAUGUUUACAUGAUGUUGAAAAUCCAAGUCAUUGCAUUCGCCUGCUAAAGACAAAUGCAAUCAAGACACUCAGUGCGUUUACAUGCACGGCUUUAAUCGCACUAAGCUCAUAAUUCAGUUUUUUCACCAAAUCGGACUUCUCUCCUUGUCCGCGUAUACAUGCAGCUGAUAAAAUCGAAUGAUUGACGUGAACGUGUUCUCCUCCCUAAAACUAGGGAGCAAUAUGGGUCUUUUCAGCAGCGCUGUUUCAGCUAUGGAUGGUCGUGUAUAUGCCACUGUCCAUAUACUUUAAAGUGUCCAUUUCUUUCAAGAGGGAAAGCAUAACGGCACUCUCUUCACUGUUCCAAGAGUGGACAUUCUUUCGUAGCCUGGCUGGGCCAUCCUGUUGCGUGAAUCACUUGCCGUUCCUUCGGCCCAUUGGGAGCGUGUACUCCCAAUCAGAAAAUAACCGGGCCAAUCAGAGACCGUGUUUCCACUAUUACCCGGACAACAGGGAAAGACAGCCCCUGAUUGGUCCAUGUGUAGAUGGUGAUGUCUAACACAUGCUGCGGGACUUUUCAAAGCGCCGGUCAUUCAGAACGCCGUUAAUUCUGCAGUUGACUUUGCAAAGUCGGCAGAAAUCGUUUAUAUCCGCAGUCUCUGAUUGGCCCGGUUAUUUCUGAUCGCCAAUACACGCUCCCAAUGGGCCGAUCCAGACUGUUGUGGGAAGGAACGUCAAGUGAUUCACGCAACCGGAUGGCCCAGCCAGGCUAAUUCUUUCGUGCUUCAGCCACGUUGCAGUUGCUUCUGAGUUGAAAGUUCUUUAAAUGAUAGUGACACUUCUUCUCUGGUGUUACAGGGGCGUGGCACAUGCACACAUGCAUUGUCCAAUCGUACUCCGACUACUCUGGUUACAUGGUAGAGAAAAUCAAAUUCCAAUCGCAUUAUCUUAGUGUCUGACUCGGAGUUCUCCGUCUCCAAUCAGAGUUCUCAAACUCCAAUUAUAGUCGGACUAAGGUGUUUACAUGCUCUUCAGUUGUCCGGUCUAAAUUGGAGUAAGUCAAUAAUUCAGUUUAUUGUACUGACUGGCUCAAGUGCACUCCUGAAACCUUUUAAAUACAGCCCAGCCACUGGGUUCAACUCAUUUGCAUGAUUUUUGUCCAGGCAAAUAUAUCACACCAAGACCUACGAAAAAUCCUCUUGCAUCCAUUUUCUUAUUGUUAAAUAAGUCCAAUCUGCUACCAUGGAGAAGGCAGGCUGCAGCCAGUCGGUUGAAAGGUUCACUUUUUGGAAGCUGUCGUGUCGGCCGUCUAUUUAAAAAGUCUACAAAGUGAGCAUCAGUCUGUGAGACACACAUGCCCAUCGCUGUUAGUCACAUCUUAGAGCCCACAGAGCACAAAAACAGAUGGACCUUCAUCCAGCCAGGAGUGAACUUUACUUCAGUUAGCCAACUUUAUACUCCACAGCCCCCUGCCAGUGGGCCUUUAUCACCUCCAUCACUCCACUUAAUCAGAAAUGCUGGCUUAGGCCCCCCUCUAAUCAGACCAAUUAGACUUUAAACCUCGUCUUUUACCGGGAUGUCCUCUCGGUUCAGGAGACGAUUUAAAUUCCUGCCGCCUGUUUGGCUCAGUCCCAGAAGAGCUCUCAGAGCACAACCUUGAGCAUUUUUAUUGUUUUGUAUUCUACGCAACCUUUUCUUGACAUUUGAGGUAAAUUUAGAAGUAUUUUAGCCAUGAUGACAGCCAGGAUAAAUGUCUCUGGAGGGUCUAAAACCAACACGAGAGUUAUCUGCCAAAAAGAUAAUUGAAUAACUAACAAAAGGCAGCUUUUGGCCGUACUUUAUCGGUUUUUGUCAUUUUGUUUCCAUCACACUCACAAACAGGAGAAGGCACAUCUCUGACUCUGUCAUCACAUCUCUGAAACAUCCGUCACGGUCCUGGCAGGCCUCAGUCAGAUAAGCCUGUGAAACCUGUCUGACUAAACAUCAGACGUGUGUGUUUUCCCACUCUGCACUGUGACAGCCACGCUAAGAGGAUUAAUCAUCACAAACAAGGCACACGCAGUUUAUUAGGGACGAAUGACACAGUUUCACACCUCUCCUCAAAAACCGGCAGCUUGGUCAGAGGCCCUACGCUUUAAGUAUGAAGAUUCAUCUGCCUCUGAACUAGACCGUCAAUUUAUCUGAAGUUCUCUUCAGUUUUAAGACGCUGAAUGGACUUGUUUUUCUGGUAAAGCAUAAACUCUAUUUCCUCAGUUUUAGGCUGUUACAACUUAAGUUAAAUCAGCUGUAAAACGUUAUUAGGUUUAAGCGCUGAACAAACUCACCUCAGUUACACACAAUUAUGAUUUGGUCAAUUAUUUCAUCACAAAACUGCGCCAGGGGCCAAUUUCCCUGAAUCAUUUUAGGGACUAAAAAGGUUGGUUAUAAUUAAACACCAAAUGUUUUUGGAUGUAUUUAGAGAUAAAAUGACUCGGGUAUUUAAAGGCUGUAAUAAACCGAGUUAGGUCAGGCACAAAUCAAGACAGAUAAUUUUGGUGUAGUCUAGGGUGGCCAUACGUCCUCUUGACAUGUCUUCUUUUUUGGGCGCUGUCCAGGCUGUCCAGCCUUGUCUGGUUUUGUCCAGGGAAGUUUAUAAAAUGCUUCAAAUGUCCACGGUUUUCGAGUUUGUGUUACAUUGACUAAAUGAGUCGCAUAAAAGAAGCGCAUAAAAGACGCUGGAUCCGACUGGAAAAACUCAAAAUUAACUUUGAGCGAUCCGUGACUCCACCCCCACGUAGUCAUGUCCUCUUUUUGGGAAGUCAGAAUUUGGUCACCUAAGUGUUGUCGUGGUUGGUGGACGGUGAAGUUAAGAAAUCAUUAAGGCAAUUUGCAACCAUGGCAACUUUGGUUAGACAAUGAAUGGACUUAAGUUGAGGCUUUUUGAUCAGCAUCGACAACUUAUGUUCGGUUACGUUUUGGACAUUGAAAAAAAGAGGAAUAAUCUGUUAAAGGAACAAAAAGAAUUACGGUGAGUAGACUUGGUUGUAAUGAGGUGUAGUGCUUGAGAUUGGUCUUGAUCUUGAGACCGGUCUGGAGACCACUUUUUAAGGGUCUCUGUCUUGUCUCGGACUUGAAGGCGUUUUUACUCUGUCUUGUCUUGGUCUUGGGAUUUUUGAUCAAGACCAAUCGAGACCGACAGAGAACAGAAGAAUGCAGAAGCUGCCCUCUCAGUGACAUGCCCUCUGCACAGAGCGGAUGAAAAGGACUGAAGACGCUGUGCUCCAUGGAAACCAUACAGACUUUAUUUGUAAACAGACACACAAGCGGAAACACUAUGCAGUAUACAAAUUUUGCAAUGCACAGUAUAAGAAGUAUAUAGACAAAUAUUUACCAUUCAAUUAGCUACACUGGGAAACAGGCAAAUCUAAAUUUUUUGUGAAAGCAAACUUGAUAAUAAAAAGAAAGAUACUGGUCAUUUGUUCUGUUUUGUGGUGAUUUUUCUUUGAUAUAUAAAGUCUUGGUCUUGUCUCGGUCUCGACCUCCAAAUGCCUCGGUCUCGAUACUGUCUGGUCUUGAUAAUGUCUUUGUCUCGGCUGGUGCGGUCUUGACUUGAACACUACUUUGUUGUGCUCAGUUUUGACAGGAGGACAGAAAAUCUCUAAAAGAAAACCACAAACUUAUCUCUGACUCAUCCAUCCAUGUCCUGGACGUCAAACAAUCGGAUAUAAAAAGCAGUUCAUAUCAUUUUAAAUACAUGUAACUCUGAGAUACAGGAGGAGCGGCUCUUCCUGUGACCUUGUAAUAGUUUUUGACAUUUUAGAUUUCUGAAACAUGUUUCAUCUCAGGAUAAUCACGCUGAAUCUGACAGCACAAUUCAUCAUAGCCAGUUGUAAUUACCUGCAUAUAGAUCACUGUCACAUGAAAAAAGGGCCAUUAAGGGGACUUCUGUGUGUGAAUAGAAAACAUUCAAUCAAAAUGCCACAGGAAACACGAGCGGCAGCCAGGAGCGGUGAUUGAACAAGAAUCCUAACCAGGACAUCCCGCGCUGAUGGCGUCGCUCCCAGGUGGGCUGCUGUGUGACAGUCACACAAACAGGUCCAUCAGCACAGGGAGGCUUUUAAUUCUAUGUUUGACCAGCUUGAUUCAGUCCUGAGGGAACAUCGGCGGCUAAAAUAACAUAAGCUUGAUCGGCAAAGCUCCCCUGACCAUUUAGACUCUGAACACAGAAAUGGUUUGAAUACAGCAGCAAUGAUUUUGCUUCAUUGAUCUGUUGAGAUUUUAGACAGCUGUGAUGUUUGAGUUGAAUCGGUUAAACCAGUUAAGAUCUAGACUGGGACUGGUUUGGAUGUAUACUCUUCUAUCAGUCUGAGAGGAGAGUAUAUGACAGAGAAAAUCGCUUUAUCCUGGCAUGUUAGUCUGACUAUUAAAGGUUUGUUUUGGUGUGAUUUCAGUCAAGACACCAAAAAUUAGGUUUUGAUUUGAAGUUAGAAUAUAAUAUAAUGUGGGGUGACCAUAUGUCCUCUUUUACCUGGACAUGUCCUCUUUUCUGAGCCUUGUCCAGCCUUGUCCAGGGUAGUUAAAAUCCUUCAAAUGUCUGGGCUUUUGUAUGGAAGUUUUGAGUUUGUUUUUGCGUGGACUAACUUAGUUAGAAGCGCGUAAAAAACACUCAACGGGACUCGGAAAACUAUCAAAAUUUACUAUGCGAGACUCUGUAACUCCGCCCCCGCGUAGUCAUGUCCACUCAAGUAAGAAGCUGUUUGACUAAAAUUAAGAUUACAGUUUACAAAAGUAAACAAGAUUGUCAGCAUAAAGACUGACUUCUUCUUUAUCCUUCGAUUUCAGAAAACAAAUAGGAGACAAGGACUUCAAACAAACAAAGAAAACCAGGUACCAUUCAGGUUGGGUGACCAUACGUCCUCUUUUACCCAGACAUCUCCUCUUUUGGGGGGCUGUUUGGUCUUGUCUGGCUUUGUCAGGGGGAGUUUAUAAAAUCCUUCAAAUGUCCGGGGUUUUGUACGGAAGUGUUGAGUUUGUGUCUUGUGAACUACACCCGUGACUCUGCUCCCACAUAGUCGUGUCCUCUUUUUGGGGAUUUAGAAUAUGUUCACCCUAAUUUUGUCGUUAGUAGAUCAUAAUGACUUCAGAUAGAAGGCGUUUGCUUGAAUCAAGUCAGAUGAGAUUGUGUCAGAGAUGUGCAUGGGUGUGAUGUGAGAUCGCUUCGAUCUAUCCACACGGCUAAGCAACAGUCUCUCUUUGGUUGCUGGUUAGUUCUUAGUUAGUAACCUUUAUUUAACCAGAAAUAAACCCAUUAAGAUUCAGAAUCUCUUUUACAAGGGAGUCCUGGCCAGGAUAGCAGCACAAGAAGUUCCACAUAAAGGAAAAAAAAAAAAAAAAACACACGCAGAAACACAACAGAGGUCUACAGAGUAAAAGUUGUGUAUUGGUUGAACACACUCCUGAGUUACAUUGUAGGGCUGUCUUGUCCUUGAGGUGCAGUUUGUUUUUCAGUUAGCUGUGCAAAACAAGACAAAUCACAUCACAUGUACACAAUGAUAAAAAAGAUACACAAGAACCACAAAAACCUGAUAUCAUGACGACUUUAACUGAACCACACUUGAAGUCGAACAAAGCUCAGAGAAUGAUGUAAGUGAAAAAAGAAAACCUUCAGGGGAAAAUAUCUGGUUUAUUUUUACUCGUCUACAUUUUCAUUACAUGACAGUCCUCUGACUCUGUUUGGUUGAACUGUUCAGCUCUUCAAGGAUGAUCCGUCUUAGUCAGAUUAUAUCAAAAAAAGGUCGUGACCCUCUGCUGUCGAUCGCUCUGUUCAAGUAGAAACCUGAUAAAAACCCGUCUUCUCCUCUUGUUACUUCCUGAAUCUGUGUUGUUACACUCAUGAAACAUUGAAGGUUACUGGGCAGGUUGAAUAUAAAAGGCUCUUUCACAGAUAUUUUACAGACUCCAACACUGCAGACUAUAAAUUAGUGAGGGAAAAUCUCUGUGUGCAUAGAGAGACGGAAGAACAGAGUGGAAAAAGUCCACAACUUUGAGAUGAAAUAGGUUUCUGUUCAUUUCAGGUGAACUAAUAAUAAAACCUCAGAUGGCCUCAGACUGCUGCCAUUUAUCCCAUGAUUGGUAAAGUUAUGAGUGGGUAAAAAUAAGGUUUGGAAGAGCCAAAUUUCUCAAAAGUCAACUUUUGCUGCAGUGACACUUAAUGGCAUGCAGAUUAAAGAUAAUAUAAACAUAAAUACAGCUCAUUUGGUGGUAAAGGAAAGAGAUUCACCAUAUCUUUCCCCAUGUACCUAAAAGGCAAAAUAAGUGGCGUAAACUCAAACGGUGCUGAUGAUGAGUUUGUUAUUGCCUCCGGCAAAAACACCCAGGAGGACAUUCUUCUCUGGGAUUAUAGCUGCCAUGUUGGUGCAGCACCACAGCACCCAUAAUCACCCGGAACGACCUGAAGGUUACAGCAGCUUUGACACAAGGGCUGCAGAAGUCUGUGUGCUGUUUUGAAAGUUUUCUCUGAGAAUUGAACUGUUAAAGGGAAUCAGAUCGGAAAGAAGGUGAAGUUAAGAGGAAUCAACACCAACAAAGAGAAAAAUCGUAUCAGAAAUCCCAUAUUGUUUUAAGUGGCAGUUGAGUCCCAGUGAAGCCAUCUGCUAGUUUCUGAAGAGGCGUAAAGAAGCCAAACGAUAGCAGCCACCAUAUUGAAAAUGCUGAUUCAACUUAUAGCCUGGAACACACCGCAAGACCUAUGAGGUUUAAGAAAUGGGUGUUCACAACUAAUCAAGUAAUUGGUUAAGAGCGUUCUCCAGCGUGCAUAUUUGGUCAGUGUUUAUCAGAGAUUAAAAAAAAGGUGUUCUCAUUUCACACUCUGGUAGCAGGGCGGUGAUUUGAGUUUUAAGCAUGUUUCUGGAUGAUGGUGUGGUACACAGCAAAGACGCUCAAGUGCUGUCCCAUUUUCCACACUUAGCAGAGUGGGCUAUGCAAACAGUUAAGUGACGUUUCGCCACGUAAAAGAACAUUUGUCUAUGGUGUGUAAGCCGCGUGCAUGGCCAAGUGAGCAGGGAGUUAUGAAAGCAGUAGGAAUACGCUUGCCAAUGGUGGUGAGAGAAAAAAAUCGAUACAGCAUAGUAUUGUGAUAUUUUGUCUGGUGAUAUAUCAUAUUGUCUUGUUUAUCGAUUUUUUUUCAAAUUAAUUGCUAAUAUUAAGUAAAAUCUAUGAUAAUGGAAAAAUAAAAUCAACUGUUUGUCCAGGGAGGUUGGCAGAGGCAACAUCAUCGAGCAGGAGAGAGUUAGUACAACAAAUAUAGAAGCACGUGGGGAAAGACAUAGGAAUGCAUCAGGUCACAAAUGAGAUGGACCUGACACAUAAGGUUUUCAAGAUGUGCUCCAUGAAAAUAAAAUACUGUGUAAUAAGACAAACAUAAAGGAAAGACAAAUGCUAAAUUAGCUAAACAGUUGAAAAGAUUGUGUAAAUUGCAAUAUAUUGUAUCGCAAUACUCACUGUAUUGCAAAAUAUUAAAAAUCAUGAUAAUAUCGUAUUGUGGGGCCAGUGGUGAUUCCCACCCCUACUUGCCAACCUGCUUUUUAUUGCAUCAUAAAUUGAUAAUAAUGUUGCUGGAUCUUCAAAUGCAAAAACAAUUCAACUAGAAAAACACAUGCAUCGGUCCAAAGCAAUUACUCAAUGCAUCUGAAAAACAUGCAGCAAAAAGCUGAACCAACCACACGCACAUUUAUAUAGUGUUGCAGAAUUUUUGCCCUUGCUGGCCACCAUCUCCAACCCUCAAAAACCAAAAAUGAUGACAUAAAAAUGAUACAUUUAGGGCUGUGUCUGCUCUGUAUCAGCUGUAAUAAUGUCAGAUGUAUAAGAAAACUACUCGGAAGGCUCUUCUCACAAAGUUUUUCAAAGCAAAAGCACAAUCUGUUCUCUUUGUGGAGAGACUGGCCUUGUGUUAACACAAUGCUUUUAUUCUGAAGGUGUGUCACCCUGUUAGAAAACAGUGACGAAAAGUUGAAUUUACUCUGCAGAAAACAUCACGUCAAAGUCAUUGAGUGAGUACAGAGGGCAAAACAUGGUGUUAUGAAGAAGUGUUUACAUGACCCCGUCCCCCUGAUGCAGCUUUCCUCGUGCAGACCAGCACCGAGAGCUCCAGCGCUGAGGUUUCAGAGCAAGCCGUCCCCAUCAGGUUUGGUUUUCUCGUCGGGUUUCUGCUCCCCGCUGAGGCAUCUCUGGUGAAAAAAGUCUCUGAAAUGGGUCACAGCUGUGCUGCACACAGUGGCACCAUGGCACACUUCUCUGAGAGAGAGGCCUAUCCGCAGGCCGAGAGAGGCAAAGAAAGAGCGCUUGUUAAACUGCCCCCCUCCAAGUGAGAUGAGAAGGAGCGAGAAACCAGAGCAAUAAAUCAUUAAUCCUCUAUAAAGAAGCUGCCAGAGGAAGGGGAACGUAUGGCUGUCCUUUUAAUGUGAGGCAGGUGUAUGGUAUCACAGCUCGUACCUGUCAUUUCAGAACAGCCCUCAGGAGGAUGACAAAAAACACAAUCAUUGAAACGUCCUAAAGGCUCACCAGUAAAGGACGAAAGAAAAAAACAGCUGGAGGUUUCUGGAACUGACCCUUAUUAUGUCUCUUCAUCUAUUGGUGAAAACUGGAAUCCAAUAACAGCAGUCAUUAUAACAGCGAUGAAGGUGAAAGAACAACAGGGGACUUUAGAAAAGUGUGAAUGAGAUAAAAGACUGAACUAUUUUUAAAGUGACAGUCGACCAGUGACAUGAAAAAAGUGACUAUUUCAGAAUAAAAUUAGGGGAAAUUAAAAUCUGGGAUGAUGGUGACAGUUAAUUUCUACUUUUUGUCUUCUCAUUUGAACUGUUUGGUUCAUGUUUACUUUAAUGCAUGCGCAAAAUAAUGCUGAUCUUGUUGGAUGUACAGUAUCAGUGUGUACUGAAUAAUGUGGGUCUUGUUCUACGCAGAAAAUAGCAUUCUUCUUUUCGCAUGACCCAUAUAAUGUCAGUUUUUUGCAUGUGCAGAAUAAUGUUGGCCUUAACACUUAAAGAGAAAACUCUUGGUUUUGAUCCAUGCAGAAAUAGUGAACAUCCUUUUGCAUGAGCUUAAUAAUGUUGGUCUCAUUGCAUAGGCAGGAUAAUGGUGGGCAGUUUGCAUGCAGAAAAUAAUGUUUGUCUUUAUACAUUGAGUGAGAAACGUUGGUCAUUCUUGCAUUUACAGAAUUAUGUCUUCUGUCAUUGCAUGCACAUUCAGAAUAAUGUUAGUUGUUUGUCUUUUAGCAUUUAUGGAAUAAUCCAGUUGCACAUACAGAGUAAUGUUAGCAUAUAGAAUAAUUCUUCUUCAAAGUACUUCAUUAUUUUUUCAGCACCCUCAAAGACAGAUGAUUAACUUUCUAUAUUUAAAAAGAAAAGUCCUAAUUUUUUUGUUGUUGUUGUUGGAGAUGGAAACACAAAACUUGCUGUGGAAGCUAUAAAUACUACACAUGAAAAACAUUAAAUGUGUAACUUACUGUUUGUUAUCCUAAUUGGUAGACAGCUGCUGCUUUUUGUGCUUUGAUUCUGUCUAUACCUUACACUAAACAUGUCUGAUUAAUGUUAAACUUAAUCUGAUAUGCUGUAAAGAAAAUGUCACGGUGCUCACAUGUAGGUUCAACUUCACUGUGUUUACUCUAUAGGAUAAAAAAUGACAUAAUUCAAGCUCAAACAUUGCAGAGUGAACUUUCAGUUCAAUAUUAAAUAUAUGCAAAGCUAAUUUAUCUAAUUCUCCACAGCCCUGACUCUGUGAGUUGGAGGUCUGGCAUUAAGUGACUUUGUGUCACCCUCAUUAACUUGGGGAAUAAAGAUCAGCGAAGUGACGCAGACGCCCAGGUUAUAAAUUUGUAUAAUCUAUAACUCUGUUGGCCCUGAUUGCCAUUAAGACACGCUCUCAUGCACUCGUUGUGUUAAUGGCCAAAUUGAAAGCGUGACCACAUCCCAGCGAAGGUGUUUAAGCAAUCUUCAGGAUCAGCAUUAAUGUGGAGGUCCAGUAAGGUCGAGGUCCAAAAGGUCUUUAAAGUCAAGCUGAAGGUUUGUGAGGAGGGGAAUCAGUUUCUCUUGCUGCUAAGACUCUCCAGGAACUUUUUUUUCUUUUUGUACCCAGGGUAUAACCUGGUCUGUUUGGUCUUUAGUUAACACUCGCAGGCCAUGAUUUUGAUUCAUGUGCAGUUUUUUUUUAAUUUGUGAGGAAACAAGGCUGAAUAGGUAGUACUUAUAAACCUAAAAACCUAAAAUAAACCUUUUUAUGCUAAAAAGUGAAGUUGCCAGUAAAAUGUUUGCCAAAACCGACUUGUUUUCAAGAUUUUUUGCUCAUUUUUUAACUGAUGCGAGCUACAUUUUUUAAAAAGUUGUUAGAGAAACCCUAACCCUAACCCUGAACAGAUAAAAAGUUGUGUAAUGCUAAAAAAGCAGCUGAAGGAACAUCUCACAACUGAGGUUAUUUUUUCAAUGCAUCCACAAAAGCAGGUUAAAACUGAACCAUGCAAAGAGUAAAACAAAAAAUCAUAACAAUCUAAAUUUUACAUUCGCUUUGGAAAUCAUGAACACUACAUUGUGCACACUAAAGGGGAAAGGACACAGAGGCAACCACCCUGCACUGACAGCAUUCAUUUUUCUACCUUAAUGGGCUGUUAGACAACUACAGAUGGGUUCAGAAGUUGCAUUAUUACUUAUAUGCUUGUGAAUAAAACUUUGAGUAUUUCAGUAGAAAUCAGAUUCUUUCUGUGCCUGCACCCACAGAUUUGCUGAAACAGUUUCCACUUUAUUUCAACCUGAGAACUAGAAACUUGAUCAAAAAGCCUUUAAACAUCAGUUUAACCUUACUCUACCGUAAGUGUCUUUAAUUCAGUCAACAGUUGUGGGGUCAGUCUGUUCUUACUUUCUUUUUCUACUCAGACUAUAAGUUUGGGAGCAAACAUGUUAUCUGAGAAAGUUUUGGAAGACUUCAAAGAAAACCUCCUAAACCAGGAUGCUGUUAUUUUCUCUCUGCUCCACUGUUGGAGCUUUCAUGAUGUCCUUUAAAAUGGAGGUCAGGUCCUCUGCUCACUGUCAGGCUCUUUGUUUAACUGCUGGAUUAAAGGGCUCAACUUAUGUGACAGCUCUGGAACUGAGCGGCUUUUUGAUUUAUCGCUAAACACACAGAAUCAGACAAAUCCAGGAUCACAGUACACUCAGUGUACAGUCUCUGUUGUUCAGUGGAGAAAGAAGUCUUGAACUCUUGUUUCUUUGAAGAAAAUCCAUUUUAACCUUGAUUUUCUUCUGUUUGUUUCUGCGAGACAGUUAGUUCAAUCUGAUCUGAUGAUAUGACCCAAAGGAGCUAGUGUUUCUCUACACAGGGAAAGGCAGAAGUUUGCGCUCUUAUUAUGGUCUUAUCUGCAUAGAAUCAGCAAAUUUCCAAUAUGAAGUGUAAUUUCAGACAAAACUGGACCUGGUAUAAACCCUUGUGGCAUACCCUUAUGUAAAGUUGACAGAAUAGCAGUGAUCCCAUGUAUUGAAAAUGUUUUUUCUUGAGAGGGUGGAGGACGCCCUCUGCAGCGACACUUGUUGAGGAGCUGUCCUCUGUCGCCAUCGUGUGGCAUAACUGUCUUCAGACAUCUCAUGAUCUCUUUGACUACUUCACGAAAAUAGUAAUACAACUCACCGGUGGCGGAUUUAAAGGUGAGGAGAGGAGCUGAUUUUAUUGGUCAAUACAGGUCUUGGCUGUGUUAAACCCACUCCACGCCCUCUCUCCUCCCUUGCUACGACUUACGCCGCUGGGAGGAGCUAAGUUAGGGAGGGGGGAUAUGCCGGGCUGCGCCGCUCACCAAAAUACCAAAUUGUGCUUGGGAACGCCUUGUUGGCAUGGCGGACCUGACUUACACCGCGCCUGCGGCACAUCUCCAGCGAGGCACGAAAAUAGAGCCCAUUGUGUCUGUGUAUUAUUUGGCACGGCCAAGGUAUAGCUUGUAGAUAGACAAUAAAAAUGGUCCAAGUAUUGACCCCUGAGGGACUCCACAGUUCCCCUCAGAGUAAGAGGAAACAUGCUUUUCAACUUGCAUGUAAAAUCUUUAAUAAGUUAAAUACAAUAAAACCAGUUUCAGAGCUGACCUUGAUACACCAAACCAAUCAUGUCAGUCAUGUGUUGGCAUCUAAUCUUACCCUCUUGAGAGGAAACUGCUUGUUCUUCAUGAAGAUACACUAGAGCUGACUUUUUGCUCUGUUGCCAUAUAAACCAUCUCCUCACAGUAGUUUGAGGAUGUUGCUUGAUAUUUGUAAAACUUUACUCACACUUUUCUCUACAAGCGCCUCCUUGGGAACGUUCAUAAUCACCCACAACACACCCAUCAGGCCACGGCCAUAAAGGGACAGAAUGUGGCUACCACUGACGCCAACAGGUUUAUUACCGCCGAGGGGCAGACACCAGCUAUGGUGAAGUGAAACAGCCCACCACAGUAUGACAGCCCAGUAACUGUUUAGAUGUUUUGAGGAAAAUAUGCACCACUUUUAGACCUGUUAAAGGAGCAAAUAGUCCAAAACGUUGGUUUCAUGAACACAGUUAUUCACUAUUGUUCACUACAAAUAACGUAGAAAGAGGUCACAAUUUGCUGUCAACUUUGGAAAAGAAGUUAAUCUUCAAGACUCUUGGUGUUCAUACAGCAUAAAAAAAGUUCCAUUGCCUCAUUUACUGCAUGACAGCGCUCUGCCCAAUUGCACUUAUAUCAGUGUUUGGUACUUAUUCAUGUUGUUUCCUUCUAUCUAGAUCUUGCUUCUAUUGUAUUUGCUCUCAAAUGUACAUCACUUUGGACAAAAGCAUCUACUUAAUAACAUUGUAAUAUUGUAAUCUGCAGAUGAAAAUUAUGGAAAAGACGAAUACAGAACUACAACAAUAUCCAAAAAUAGUACAGCAAAGUCAAUAUCCAUAUCCAAGUAUAUACUUCUUCCUGCCUAUGUUUGCACGUGAAAAUUAAAAUGUUUCACUGCUGGCUGAUAAAACUUGUGGGCAUUUCUGUUUUGUUCUUUUUUUCGUUCACCUUUCUUUAUGUUGGACAUGUUAAAUUAAAAAAAGAUGUCAACUUAAUCUGCGAACUCAAAGUCCAAACGUCCAUCCACAGUCUCUAAAAAAGUUUGCUCUGCCCCGUCUAAUCCCUGUCACCGGUGAUAUUUGGAUAUAUAAAAAGUUUUUCCAAAAGAGUACUAAACAACAUAAAAAUACAACUCCAGGAAGCUAAUCAUACCAAUUAGAAACUCUUAAUUCUGAACAUGUUUCAUUAACAACGAUUUACCUCUCUCGCCCGGAUUAAACGUGGUUGCAGAGAUGGAAUAAUUCCUGUCAGGAAUGACACAAAACAACAAAUAAUGGCUCAUUAAAAAGUCUAGACUAUGUCUUCUGCAUAGCGCGGAAUGUUUCAGUUUGAUAGCUUAUAAGGUUUUAGAAAAAGCUAUCAGAGACUUAUGUCCACCACAGAGAAAAAUAUGAAUUACUGGGUCUCAGGAGGAAACGAAUCGUUGCAAUCAAAAUCAAAAGGCAGCUUUUGUUGUUACUGAGAACCGUGUUAAUGAUCAGAGGUGUGUACUUCUGCAAAUUCUGUCUUGUGGUGUGUUUAAUUAGCGUAUCAGGUGAAGCGUGCACUACAUUUUAAAGCAGUUAAACUCUAAACUCGGUUCUCAUUAAACCAAAGUCUCCAUCCUCCUCCUAACAUCUCAGCGGUUGCCUGAAAUCAGCAGCUAAUUGUAGCACAACCUGGCUGUAGUCCGCCCUCCUCAUCCAGGCUUCCAUUAGCUGAUUACUGCACACACACUAUCUUAUUAAUGUAAAUCCCUGCAAGAAAAUAUGACUCUGGCAUAAUAUUUAUUUAGUAGGCUAUUCACAGGGAGCAGAGCCUCAGUUGGCUCUGCAGCUUUAUGGAGAUUUUUAAUGAGUCUUAACCAACAACCAAAGAGCAGGAUUUAUUAUUCCAUCCUCCUGUCUGCUCCCAAAUAAAUAAAUAAGAGAAUAAAUAAUAAGACAGAAGUUUUGCAGCAGGAGGAGGUGAAUAUGCUGCAUUUUAAUUUAGUGUUUGUGAGCAGAGGUAAUCCAUCCACGUUUGUAUCUCAACAAAUAUAAUUCAGUGCUCGUGUUUGUCUUGUCUGCAGCAGGUGAUGUACAACGCUCUUUAUUUUGUUGACUCUUAAGUUAUGGAUUAAUCACAGAGUCUGUCUCAUCUCUCAUCAUGCAGCCCGUGCAGUUAUCCUGCAUCCUCUGCAGAAACAAUUGUAAUUGAUAACAGAACAACUUUAUUGAUUUAUACAUGGAAAACUGUCUGUUCUCAUUUUUCAACAGGCUUUUUUCACUGUUUUUGUGCUUAAUUAAAAUGUAUAGAGCAUGCAGAGUGCAACAAUGCGUGAUUUGUAUGAAUAUACAUGAACCAAUUUGGCAAUAUAGCAACCUUAACUAAACAUACUUGUUCAAAAAUGAGCUCCCAAAGCAAAGAAAAGGGCAAAUAAUAGCAAAUUGAAAGAAACUUGUCUGCAUUUUUAAAACAACAGCAAAAUGUUUUAUAUUUGAAAAUCCACAAAUAUCUGGAAAUUAAUUUGUCUAGAUUGGAAAACAAGAACAUUUGUCCAAUUAAAAAAGUAUUCAUAUAUUUACAGAAAACCACAAACAGCUGUGCGGAAAUCAACCUAAACAUCUUAAAAGAAAAAUUUCAGUUAUGGCACCUUUAUGAGAGAACUUCAUUUGAAAAAAUGAAAAAUGUACAAGGAUUAAAGGGAGCACAAUUAUCUCUAAUACCUUCAUGAACCACAGAAGCAAGCAAACAAACAAAAACACAGUAAUCAGCCAGGUCUGUGGCUGAAGAGACUGACUCAUGCUGCAGAAAAUCUUUUCUUACAUUUUUAACUUCAGGAUGAAAUUUUUGUCUUGAAACAAACAAAUUAAAAAAAUAGUUAUCACUUUACGAUAACCAUAACUUAUAAAUGGUAAAUAGACCCUUUAUAAAUGGUAAGCAGAAAGUUUAUUAAUGUUUAAUCAUCAUUUAUAAACAGCAUAUAGACCAUUAAUAAAUUGUAAAUUUCACAUCUUUAAAAACCUAACCCUAACCAUAACUUUCCAAUAACCAUCUAAGUAAUAUUUAUAGGUUGUUUAAAAAAACAAAUAUUAACCAUUUACAAAGUGCUACUGACACAAAUUUAAAUCUAGAUGUUUUACAAUCUAUCUAUUUGCCUAUCUAUUUGGUAUAUAUGCUGGUUUUAAAUGAUGAUUAAAUAUUAAUAAAAUAUUUAGUUACCAUUUAUAAAUAAUGGUUAUUGUAAAGUGCUACCAAAAAAAAAAAAACUUUUAUUCUUACAGGACAAGAUCAGCAACAAGAUGCAACUUUAAAAAAGUCUUUGCAGAAGUCAUAUAGAUGAAUAAAAGCAUACUGAAAAGUGUUUGAAAUGACCUCUCAAGCCUCAUUUCUACUUUUGUAUGGAAGUCGUUUCAGUCUUUUAAAAACAACUUAACCUCACUGACGGGUUUAAGUGUCUGGAUAAUUAAAGAUCAAAAUGCAUAGAUUAAGUGGAAGAGCUGAAGCUGAAAAACUGCCUGUAAAGAGGACAAAAACAAGCACCCAUUCCCACUCUGUCUCACCAGACUUUCUCUUUUUCAUUCCCAGUAAACCAGAGACAGUUUCUACUGUCACCUCUUGUUUUUAGCCGUCAUGAACCCUCCGUCCUGUCUCUCUCUCUCUUUCUCUCUCUCUCUAUCUGGUCACCUGCCAGCAUGUCCUCGUUUACAGAAAGUGCACGGCCUGAUAGAUGGAGCUCUCUCUGUCACCAUCCCUAACAGAGCGCCGACCACCCAGCAGGUCGGCAGAGAGAUGCUCAAUCUGCUGCCACAAAAUCACAUCUCGUGUCAGCCGGCGGGAAGAGCGCCAAAUCACAGCAAAAUCCUGCCCGCUGCAUUCUGGGUAAUCCUGCCUCACUCUCUAACAAUGUUAUCUCAUCUGCAGCAAUGCUGUCUGAACAAAGAGCCAAUAGUGGAGAUCUUAUAAUGAUCAAUCACUGACCAAUACAGAAGGAUCCACUGACUCACUGAGUAAUAAAAAGGAGUUUUUAUGAGCUUCAUCUCCCGUCAGAUCUGGACGUAUAAUAAUCUGAGUUUAAUGAGCUUUUCAUAAGCAGCUGAGUUUGACCUUUUCUAAAACAGAAUAACCUUAGUAGUAUAUUUUAUGGAUAGACAAACGUGCCAGGAUCCGUUAUUCCUCAGACUGCUUUAACCUUUACCUGCUUUAGCAUGAACGGCGACUUUCUUUAUGUCUCUGCAGAGACAGAGGGAGAUUCAGGACAGGGUUUUCCUGCAAGGGGGGGCAGGGCUAAAUUUGGUGCUGUGUUAAUUUUGGACUCUGCUCCUGACGGCUGGACGGGGUUGAUUAAUGCGGCCCCUCGUCACUGUGAGCUGGCAGAACCAGGACAGAUGCCUGGCCCUUCCUUCUACAGAGACCAUGAGUUUGUGGUCACAGAAAGAAAACUGUGAAAGGUUGAGGACUGGCGUUGAACAUGAGGGACAGCAGCUUUUGUAUAAGGGGUCAAGGGUCUACCGUGGCACCCCAUUAUGGAACAUUUAAAUCAUGUUAUAAUAAUAAAAAAAGAGUAAUUUAACCUUCCUCCUGUGUUAGCUUUUACAAUGCAACCACUACGUUAAGGGUCGCUUUCAACCCAUGUCUUAAAUCAGCUGUAAAUUACACUAAAAACAAUCCUCUAUUAUCCAAUUUGGUUCUCAUCUCUAGGUUACCUUGUUAGGCAUCAUUAUCCAUGAAAAUAUUGCUGAUAAUAGUUUUUGUUGUGGAUCUCUGGGCCUUUCUUUGUCAGUAUACCCCUCACACAUACAUCCAUACUGAAUUGACCUCACAUGUCUGGACAUGCCUGUCGUUGUUUUUUGUGCAGAGAAAAACAUGAAUCUCACAAGAUUGGAAGAGGAUCUGACUGACAGUGUGGUGCCUGUCAGUGCACCUAUGAUUUCAGUUUUUGCUCUAAUUAUUAGAUAUUGAUCUAACCGGGUCAACAGCAACCCUAACACGACAAGUGCCAUAACUUUAAUAACAGCAUUUUAUAAUUUAGUCAAUUUAAUUUUUUUAUUUUUAUUUUGAUGAAAUAGAGGUUACUGACAAAUUCAAAAAGUCAUGAUACCAAAAAAGCAAAUUUAAGUGGUUCUUUUAAGCAUUUGAAACAAAAAACGGGUCGGUGCAGACCCUUACACAGGAGGAGGGUUAAAGAGACCUAUGAAUAUAAUGCUCAAUUUCUACAAGGUCUAACCCUCUCAAGGUUUGACAUAAUGAAAUAUCAACUGUUUUUUAAACAACUGUCUCCAUCACAAAUUCAGUCUCCAUGGAGGAUCUGCAGCCUCUCAGUUUCUUGUCUCAUUAUGUAUGCGGUGAUCAAGGUGGGCAUGGUGUUAUGAAACUGAGGCACUUAUUUGCUUGAAUGUUGUCGGCGAAUACUGCAGACCAGUGGAUGCAGAUCCAGAGCUGAAAUCGCCAAACAAAAUGAAAAUGGCGAGUGCCCCAGAAGAACCUGCACCAUCAACCAGAGGUGACCACUGAAGAGCUGCAGCUGCAGUUAUAAUAACAUGACUCUUUUGAUUAGAACUCAUUAAUCCACUUUCUGUUUUCUGUCCUCGUUUCAUGCAUGCACAGAGCAGUUGGCAUGUGUGGCUGUAACCCGGGAUUCCCACUGCAUCCGGAACGGCUCCGAUCCAGAACGGCGAAGAUUUUCGCUGUACGCCAAUUCCUACCAGCUCCGUUUGUGAGGCAAAUUUCGUGGCAGAUUACAGACAGCAGGAAUCACGAAAACUGACAAGAACCUGCAGAUUCACAUGCAAUCGCUCGAUAAAAAGUUGUCUUUAGCCACAUAGGCUAACAUAUAAGCAGUAGAUUGUGUCCUUCCAGGGGAGGAAAUCUGCUUGUAGACUUAAAAAAUCAGCAUCCUCUCAUCCAUGGCGUCAUCAGGGUAAAAUUCUGUCUAAAAACCUUUCACUUGUUCGUUUGUUUGUUGUUCACUUGUUUAUUUUGAAAAGAAGCCGGAUGUUUUAUUUUGCAUCUGUGCUCGACUUCCUUUCCAGCACAGACUAAUCCGUGCUGAAUUUAUCUGGCAGACUCUGGCGUCUGGAAAAUAGAACUCUUGCGAUCAGCUGCAGAAUCCAGCGAUCCGCAGCGGAACGGAGAGAAGCCGGUGGAAAUUGACACAUUAACUUGGAUGGUUACAAUCAGCUACAAUCGGCAGAUAGUGCCUUUUCAUAGCCGUUCCAGAUGCAGUGGAAAUUGGGGGUAACCUUUGACAUCUCGACUCUGCAACACUGAAGUAUAAUAGCAACAAUGAAGGAGGAUGCUAAAUUGCACAGCAAGUGAAAGUGGUUCUGCAUACAUGCCUGUGCAGAUCACUCCAGGUCACAUUGCCUUUUCAGUGGGAUGCAGAUUCAUUGCAGAGGCUUUCUUACUUCCACAUCCUCAGGGUUGUUAUAGGACCCCAAAAUUAGUUCAAAUCAGGUUCUUUUGUACUUUGAUAGAAAAUAACAUGCAGUUUCACGUACUCCUGUUUGUAUACCUGCACAGGGCACAAAAGGCAACAACAUCUCACUGUUUCCUAUUCCUUAUCUGGCUCAAGUAUGGGUGUGUAAUUGUGCCUCAGUGCAGCUCACACAGAGCAUUAUGUGAGCAGAAUAAACUGCCCAGCCCCCAGACAGCCGUUAGCUGACACGCACAAUGCUAACAGAGUGAAGGUAAACACGGGCACCUGCUCAUAGAGAUUAAUGUGGGCACCGGGGCCAGUAAAAACAUCAUUAUCAUUCAGUCUUAUUUAGUCGGCUCUGCAGUACAAGGUCGGCCCAGAUGUUCUGUGGACGGAGAGCAGCAUAUCAAUAGUGUAGCAGUCUCAUUAUUAGGCAGGAGGGUGUUGUAUACACACAGAUAUAUACGGAAACACAGCCUCUGUCGGUGAGCUGACUCGUAAUGAAGCGUUGUUGAUCUGUUUAUGUUUCCUGGAAAACAUUUAAAUAAGUCCUGUUUUAAUAAAUCACUGCAAUCUAAUGAUCAAACUUUACUUUGUUCCUCCUGUUUCAGAGGAAACAGCUGCUGGGGUCAUUGCCAGGGAUUGUUUUUGUCACAACACAAAGAGAGUAAUGAAUUAGCUCGUCUGUUAAUGAGAACCUGAUGUAAAAAGAGGAUCUACCGGGACAAUUUGAUUACCCAGAAUGCACUCUGAGUCAUGCUGCUUUGACAAGACAGGUAGCAAACACAAGGAAAAUGAAAAUUGAUCAUUUCUGUAUCAUUACGACUUUUGUCUGUGUUUUAAAUCACUCUCCACACGGGGUGUGAUAGCAGCACGAGUGCAACAGAUAUCAGCUUUCAAAUGUGAUUUUAUAUCAGUUUUAAGCAAGAGCUGUGAAUAUAAUGGGUAUAAGAAGUCAAAGAUAAUGAAUAAAAAAGGUACUUUUGUUCGAGUAGCUUGCUUAUCUCAAUAUAUUUGGAAAAUUUGAUGGCUUUGUAAAGUGAUCUUUGGGGUUUGUCCCUUUGAGAUUGGAAAAACCUGUAAAUGUGUUUCCAACUUCAGAAGAGUAUAACUUGUGAUUUCACUCAGAAUUUUUCUCCCACUGAAGUUUGUUCUCUCUUUGAUUUUUGCAUUAACUCAGCGAACUGAUGCCAUGGAAAAUGUAGAGAGUUGUAGUACUCCCUCCUUAGUAUACACCAUAGACUGUAUAUACUAUGGACAAUUUGGUUUUGCCUUCCGCCAGUAUACAGGUUCGAAAAGCUCCCAGUAAUUCUGUGAUUUUUCUCCAUUUCCUGAAACCGCAGUGGCGUUGUACGCACUUCACCACUUGCACAGUAACAUUGUACAUAUUCGGCGGGAGGGUCGCGGGGAGCUAUAUUCAACAUUUAGGGAAUCCAUAGGGAUUGCUGGAGGAGGCGGGAUUUAUGACCUACAGUGCAGCCUGUCACCAGAGGGUGCUGUUCCCGGAGUGGCUUCACCCAGCGAGGAGGCAGAUAGCAUCCACUCUAUAUACAGUCUAUGGCUAUAAUCCACCAGUUACACCUUUUGAGCGAAUGUUCAAAGCUAUCUGUCAGUGUCAAUUGUAACUCUAUUUUAGUUUUGGUUACAUAGGCUGCUGUUGUAGUCAUGUAGUGCUUAUGGGUGUUACUUUUUACACAGCUUUGUAGUCAUAAAACAACCCAAAGUAGAUGGCGUCCGUUUUAUAUACAGUCUAUGGUAUACACUCUUACAACAGGCUGGCAGCAAAAAAUUCAAAUUGAAAUGGAUUUGUGAAAGUCCUGACCUGACAAGGACUGGUUCACAUGAUAAUGACCACAGAGGACCUCAUUCACAACUAUCCCAGCUAACUUUUCACCAAACACCUCUGAGGAGUUCUGAUAAACCAGCUGCUCCAUCUGCAUCCAUACCAAUAUUUUUAAGUUCUCCACCGCUGACCAUCCUGUAAGCUACCACCUCUUUCAGUCACUUUCUAACCAGAACACUGUGUCAGUUUGAAGCUUUGCAAGAUGGAUUCCCCUCAUGACAGACUGGUGCAUGGACUUUUAAUUUAUUAGGAAACCAAACAUUUAGACUGUGUGCUCUAAAAAAGAAGGUGUCACUCAGUUAAAGAUGUGUCUGCAGAACAGAGAGGUAACCACACCUGUAUGAGACAGACAGCUCUCCUCUUUUCUUCCACAGCCUUUCCAUCAUCGUCUCUCCUGACUUGUGAUUUGUCUGGCUGGGAUCUUGUGUGGCAACCUCAUCCAUCUUUAUCCCUGCUUCGAGAAGCUCACGGUGACGGGCGCCGGAUGACAAGUGUUGGAGAGUCGAGCCGCCAGCGUUUAUCUAUCAGUGCAUCUCGUCAGCUUCACCCUCUGAGAGCUCUGAAGGGCGACUUCCUCGAACUGAAACUGAAACUAAAGAGACAAACUGCGGGAUGAGGCCUGCAGGCUGUUCUCCUCCCCAGACAUGAUUUUUACCAUUUCCAGCUUCAUAUUCAGGGCUGAUGUUGCAGAAACAGAGGAACAUGAUGUUUAGUUUGACUCUGUAGGCAAAUUCGAAAACUAAAUCUUAGUUUUUAAGAAGAAAAAAUAAAGAAUGAGGUGUGAGAGGUCUCAGAAGUUUGGUUUGAGAGUAGGGUCAACUAUCCAGAGAUGCGGGCAGGUGAUUUAUGAAAGAGACAUCCAUGUUAACCUCAUAAUGAAGAUUUUAUGACGGC